CCUACGGGAGGCAGCAGUGAGGAAUAUUGGUCAAUGGACGAGAGUCUGAACCAGCCAAGUAGCGUGAAGGAUGACUGCCCUAUGGGUUGUAAACUUCUUUUAUAUGGGAAUAAAAUGUUCCACGUGUGGGAUUUUGUAUGUACCAUAUGAAUAAGGAUCGGCUAACUCCGUGCCAGCAGCCGCGGUAAUACGGAGGAUCCGAGCGUUAUCCGGAUUUAUUGGGUUUAAAGGGUGCGUAGGUGGAUUGUUAAGUCAGUUGUGAAAGUUUGCGGCUCAACCGUAAAAUUGCAGUUGAAACUGGCAGUCUUGAGUACGGUAGAGGUGUGCGGAAUUCGUGGUGUAGCGGUGAAAUGCUUAGAUAUCACGAAGAACUCCGAUUGCGAAGGCAGUUCACUGGACUGCAACUGACACUGAGGCUCGAAAGUGUGGGUAUCAAACAGGAUUAGAUACCCCUGUAGUC
rnacentral:rRNA from 1 species